rnacentral:rRNA from 1 species
GGAGCAUGUGCACGCUUGUCAUCUUUAUAUCUCCACCUGUGCACCUUUUGUAGACCUGGAUAUCUCUCUGAAUGCUACGCACUCAGGUUUGGGGUUUGACUUUAUUUGUCUCUCCUUACAUUUCCAGGCCUAUGUUUAUUCAUAUACUCCAAUUGUAUGUUAUAGAAUGUAAUCAAAGGCCUUUGUGCCUGUAAACCUAUACAACUUUCAGCAACGGAUCUCUUGGCUCUCGCAUCGAUGAAGAACGCAGCGAAAUGCGAUAAGUAAUGUGAAUUGCAGAAUUCAGUGAAUCAUCGAAUCUUUGAACGCACCUUGCGCUCCUUGGUAUUCCGAGGAGCAUGCCUGUUUGAGUGUCAUUAAUAUAUCAACCUUUUCAGCUUUUGCUUGUUGAGUGUUGGAUGUGGGGGGUCUUUUGCUGGUCUUCUCAGAUCAGCUCCCCUGAAAUGUAUUAGCGGAACAAGUGUUGACUGUUUAUUGGUGUGAUAACUAUCUACGCUAUUGACAGUAAAGCAGUUCAGCUUCUAGCAGUCCAUUCAAUUGGACAAGUUUUUCAUUAAUGUGACCUCAAAUCAGGUAGGACUACCCGCUGAACUUAAGCAUAUC